rnacentral:rRNA from 1 species
GGGAGAGUCAAAAUGCUUACACAUGCAAGUCGAUUCAAGUUACUUUCGGGUAAUGAGGAUGGCGGACGGGUGAGUAACGCGUAAGGAACUUGCCUCUUGGACUGGGACAACUGUUGGAAACGACAGCUAAUACCGGAUAUUAUGAGAUUCUCGCAUGAGAAACUUAUGAAAGCUAUAUGCGCCAAGAGAGAGCCUUGCGUUCCAUUAGCUAGUUGGUGGGGUAACGGCCCACCAAGGCGACGAUGGAUAGCCGGCCUGAGAGGGUGAACGGCCACAAGGGGACUGAGACACGGCCCUUACUCCUACGGGAGGCAGCAGUGGGGAAUAUUGGACAAUGGGCCACAAGCCUGAUCCAGCAAUUCUGUGUGCACGAUGAAGGUCUUCGGAUUGUAAAGUGCUUUCAGUUGGGAAGAAGAAAGUGACGGUACCAACAGAAGAAGCGACGGCUAAAUACGUGCCAGCAGCCGCGGUAAUACGUAUGUCGCAAGCGUUAUCCGGAUUUAUUGGGCGUAAAGCGCGUCUAGGCGGAAAAAUAAGUCUGAUGCUAAAAUGCGGGGCUCAACUCCGUAUUGCGUUGGAAACUGUUUUUCUAGAGUACUGGAGAGGUGGGCGGAACUACAAGUGUAGAGGUGAAAUUCGUAGAUAUUUGUAGGAAUGCCGAUGGAGAAGUCAGCUCACUGGACAGAUACUGACGCUGAAGCGCGAAAGCGUGGGGAGCAAACAGGAUUAGAUACCCUGGUAGUCCACGCCGUAAACGAUGAUCACUAGGUGUUGGGGGUCGAACCUCAGCGCCCAAGCUAACGCGAUAAGUGAUCCGCCUGGGGAGUACGCACGCAAGUGUGAAACUCAAAGGAAUUGACGGGGACCCGCACAAGCGGUGGAGCAUGUGGUUUAAUUCGACGCAACGCGAGAAACCUUACCAGCGUUUGACAUCCUAAGAAGUUUCCAAAGAUGGAUUCGUGCCGGCUUGCCGGAACUUAGUGACAGGUGGUGCAUGGCUGUCCUCACCUCCGGGCCUGGAAAUGUUGGGUUAAGUCCCGCAACGAACGGCACCCCCUAUUGGAGGUUGCUACCUUUAAGUUGAGCACUCUUGCGAAUAUUGCCUUGGAAUAAACAGGAAGAAAGGUGGGGGAUAAACUUCAAAUUUCAUUGGCCCCUUUAAACCUGGGGGUAAACACGUGGUUAAAAUGGGGGAAUACAAAGAAUUUGCCAACUCCCCGAAAGGAAGGGCCUAUCUCUUUAAAAGCGUGGUCUAUAUCUCGGGAUAGGAUCCUCCCCCACUCCAACUUACUUAUGG